UCUCAUUCUACAGGGACAAUGCACAUAAAUUUUUUCCAAUUAUGCAAAUUCGUAUAAUUUUAUUUCAUACAUUUCAUAAGUGGAGAAUAAUUGUCUUCGCUGGGCCCAUCCCCUACGUGAUUUUUUCCGCUCCGCCAUAACACUCCGCGUAUGGAUGACGCGCCGUCAUAGCCCGCGUAAAGAGCGCGUACAUAUAACGCGUAGAUAUUACGCCCCGCCAUCGACGACUUCACUAUAUAUAGAAGUGGAACAGGGCAUCGCCAUUGCGAUCAAACAGCGAUGGUGGAGCAACACAGCGACGGCGAACGAUAUGGAAGAGAAUGCGUAGUAAUGGUGGAUCUCACGGGAACAAAGAGCGAGAGGAAAACCUAGACUAAGCGGUAGGCAGCUCUGUAACCUUCUUCUUUGUUUAGUGCAGAUCAAAUUUUUAAGAACAAGAUGUUUGUUAAAGCAGACCAAGACCAGGGCUCACCAAUUGAUCUUGCUGCAAGUUGGAGGGCUUAUCAGGUGACCAGGGUAAAUUGAGGUUGUUUAUUUAUUUUCCACAGUUUCACAUUACACAUGAAGGAGUUUGCAGGUGCCCACCCGAUCUGCUGUCUCUCGUUGUCAUAGACUACGAUCUUAUCGAGCAAAGAGAUAUCUGUAACAAAUUUGGGGGAAAAAGAAGUUGAAAUGUUGGAAGAAAGCAUGUAAAAGAAAAGAACCUGAAAGUGGUUCUUUGUUGAUCCAACAGUGUUUCUCAUCUUACCUCCAAUCACAUUAACAUUUCCCAAUCCUACUUGGGACCCAUUCAAAAUCCCAAAGCACACAUUACCAAAUUUCUGUAUAAGAAAGAAGAGUCUUAGAUAUGGUGAUGAUACUCUCGAUAUAUGGUUUCAGUUUAACUAUGGAUAUAUAGAUAAAUGAGAUGUUUGGGAA